rnacentral:lncRNA from 1 species
GAUGAAUGUAUCCUUUCUAGCCAUCAGCUGACAGAAACUCAUUGAAGUAGGUGUAGGCAAUGAACGUACACUUUGUACUUUCUAUGAGAAGCGCAUGGCCAUAGAAGUAGCUGCUGCUGUUUCUGAGUAAAAAGUACAAGGGUUAUGUGAUCAGAAUCAUUAGUGGGAACCACAAACGAGGUUUUCCCAUGAAAACCUUGAGCCUUGAGCCAGAAGAGUGCACCUGCUGUUGAGUAUGGGUUGUUACAGACCAAGGGAAGCUGGGGAAAGGAAGCGUAAGUCUAUUGUGGAAGAAAUUGUAGAUGCCAAUCCGAGCAGGCUCAACUUGGGUACUGUUAUGAGAAAGAGAGGGUGAGGGUGACAGAGAGAGAGAGGAAGAGAAAGAUGAGAAAGAGGAGCAUGUGCAUGGGGUUGUGGGGGGUUGAAAGAGAGACAGAGACAGGUAAGAAUGAGAGAGAUUAUUCCUGGACUAAUAGAUACAACUGAGCUUCAAUCACUGGGGCCCAAAAGAGUUCAGAGUCUGAAAGUUCUCUAUCUUUAAAGAAGAUGAUGUCCAUCAAUUUGCUGUCAGAUAGUCCUUGAACAAAGAAUAUAAGGAACUUAAGACCAAAGCACCUAAGACUGUGCAUCUUGUUACUCCACAUGUCCUACAACACAAAUGUCAACGUAUUACUCUGAAGAAACAAGAAAACAAGAUUUCAAAACAUGCCAAACUUUAGCCAAGAGAAUAAAGGAAGCCAAAGAAAUAUGCCAGAAACCGAUUGCCAAGAGACAUAGGGCUGUCUGUGAAUUUCUACUUCUAAAUCUGAGUCCAGUAAGAAAUAAC